GUGGUUAGAGCAGGUAGCCUAGUGGUUAGAGAAGGUAGCCUAGUGGUUAGAGAAGGUAGCCUAGUGAUUAGAGCAGGUAGCCUAGUGGUUAGAGAAGGUAGCCUAGUGGUUAGAGCAGGUAGCCUAGUGGUUAGAGAAGGUAGCCUAGUGGUUAGAGCAGGUAGCCUAGUGGUUAGAGCAGGUAGCCUAGUGGUUAGAGAAGGUAGCCUUGUGGUUAGAGCAGGUAGCCUAGUGGUUAGAGAAGGUAGCCUAGUGGUUAGAGAAGGUAGCCUAGUGGUUAGAGCAGGUAGCCUAGUGGUUAGAGAAGGUAGCCUAGUGGUUAGAGCAGGUAGCCUAGUGGUUAGAGCAGGUAGCCUAGUGGUUAGAGCCAGGUAGCCUAGUGGUUAGAGCAGGUAGCCUAGUGGUUAGUGGUUAGAGCAGGUAGCCUAGUGGUUAGAGAAGGUAGCCUAGUGGUUAGAGCAGGUAGCCUAGUGGUUAGAGCAGGUAGCCUAGUGGUUAGAGCAGGUAGCCUAGUGGUUAGAGAAGGUAGCCUAGUGGUUAGAGAAGGUAGCCUAGUGGUUAGAGCAGGUAGCCUAGUGAUUAGAGCAGGUAGCCUAGUGGUUAGAGAAGGUAGCCUAGUGGUUAGAGCAGGUAGCCUAGUGGUUAGAGCAGGUAGCCUAGUGGUUAGAGAAGGUAGCCUAGUGGUUAGAGCAGGUAGCCUAGUGGUUAGAGCAGGUAGCCUAGUGGUUAGAGAAGGUAGCCUAGUGGUUAGAGCAGGUAGCCUAGUGGUUAGAGCAGGUAGCCUAGUGGUUAGAGAAGGUAGCCUAGUAGUUAGAGCAGGUAGCCUAGUAGUUAGAGCAGGUAGCCUAGUGGUUAGAGCAGGUAGCCUAGUGGUUAGAGAAGGUAGCCUAGUAGUUAGAGCAGGUAGCCUAGUGGUUAGAGCUAGGUGGCCUAGUGGUUAGAUCAGGUGGCCUAGUGGUUAGAGCAGGUAGCCUAGUGGUUAGAGCAGGUAGCCUAGUGGUUAGAUCAGGUGGCCUAGUGGUUAGAGCGUUGGGCCAGUUACCGAAAGGCUGCUGCAUCGAAUCCCCAAGCUGACA
ensembl:lncRNA